ACGGAGGUUAWUGCUCUUCACAAUUCCAUCUGCUAUUGGAGGAGUGGUUCUCUGCAUGAACAUCUGCUGUAUGGUCUGGCUGUGUAGGAAACAAAAACAGGAACAGACUGUCACAAGUCAUUGURAUAGGCAAGGAGAGGAGAGCAAUGCCCAGUCUGAUGGUCACACUGCCAGAAGAGAACAACACCAGUGGAGUCAAUACUUUGAAAGACUCAACUCAGUCUAUGGACAGUAGUAAUCACACAGCAGGUACUUAACAUGACAAAAAAGAGUCAGGUAUCAUAGACGGGUUAGCUGACAAGGUCACGAAAACAAAGCGCAUGCUUCAAUGAGGCAGAAGUCCAUGUGUAGUUGUGAUUCUGKAUGACCAGAUAACUAGCAACAUUGACAAGAAGCUGCCAUGUGGGAUUCUUAGGUGGUUCGUUUCAGCUUGUUGUGUCUAGUUAGUGAUACUGUGAUGGAACAUUUUCUUUUUGUGUUUUUCUAAUAACCAAUUUCUGUGCUCAUGCAAGUGACUGAUUGAACGUGCAGAGGAGGAAUCCUCACUAUCAGCAUGCAAUUUGGCAGUACACCCAGAACCGUGUUUUGAGAACUAAAGGGAUAUCUUAGUUUCAAGGUCUCAGCUUGGAGAGAGGAAGCCUCUUAAGGUAUUGGUCGGUCACAUGCAUGAACC